rnacentral:misc_RNA from 1 species
GAUGGCGGCGCCCAUUGGGAACACGAUUCCAAUCCUUUUCAAAGACAUUUGUUAGCCGUUCUCUCAUAAACAAUAUUGUCAUUUCAUACGAAGGGACAUAUGAUAAAAAGUUCCACCAUGCUAUGUAGGAGAUGUUUUCUCCAAACAUCAUCGAUGCUAGAAGACCUGUUCUACAUGCAGAAACGAAACAUGCAAAAAUGGAAGAAAAAACUAGAGAUCAAUGAACAAAGGAAAAAACAAGUGUUUCAAUAUGUGAGAGAAAAUGCCAAGCCUACAGAAAGACUGUAUGUUUGGGGAUGUGCAACUACAGGGUCUCUUGGGAUAUCUUCAUAUCUUAAACCAGGCAAAGGGCAGAACAUGAUGCUAUGCAUGCGAAGACCAGCUCGAAUGAAAUUCUUUGAUGAUCAUGGCAUUAAGGUUACAGGGGCAGCGUGUGGGUAUGGAUUUACGAUAUUUCUAACAAAAACAGGAAAAGAGCAUCGUGUGUUUGGAACGGGGAUCAACACCAACUCUCAGAUAGGCUUCCACAGAUUACACCAUGAAAAAGGAAAAGGACUUGACUACAUAAUAGAACCAAUAAAGAUUGAUAUUCCAUUUGAUAACCCAGAAACCACCAAAGUGACACAGGUUGCAUGUGGACGUGCUCACACGAUCUUACUGACAGACAAUGAAGGGGUGUACAGUAUGGGAAACAAUGCUUAUGGUCAGUGUGGGAGGACCAUCGUGGAGGGUGAACUUUACAGGUACAGCUCACAGAUCCACCGGAUAAAGGAUUUACCGGAUAACGUUACCAAGGUUGUUUGUGGACAAGAUCACACCUUGUUUCUGACCGCGGCUGGAGAGUUGUACAGCUGUGGGAUGGGAGCUGAUGGACAGACAGGUCUAGGUCAUUAUAACUCUGAGCACCGUCCAACCCUAGUACAAGGUGACCUUCAAGGUGUCAAGGUGAAGGACAUAGGUGGCGCUGUGGACUGUGUGCUGGCCGUAUCCGAUAAAGGAGAACUUUUUGGUUGGGGAAACUCGGAAUACAACCAGCUGUCGAUGAUUACAGAACACACACAGGUCAAUGUACCCAGACAUUUACCUGUGCACAGCUGUGGGAAAGUAAAGAAGGCGGUCGCUGGAGGAUCCAUGUGUGCAAUGUUAACAGAAAAAGGCCAUAUGUAUGUGUGGGGAUACGGGAUUCUGGGGAAAGGUCCAGAUUUGGAAUCAGCAGAAACUCCUCAGAAAAUACCACCAGCAUUAUUUGGACAAUACGAUUUGGAUGCGCAAAGUAAAUUGGUGGAUCUAGCGUGUGGUAUCGGACACUUCCUGGCCUUGUCAGACUCAGGAAAUGUGUAUGCCUGGGGAAAGAAUAGGAGUGGUUGUUUAGGAUUAUAUGUACAGCGAGACCAGUUUUAUCCUCUCAAGGUGUCAAUGCCAGCAGAAACCUACUCUAUAGUUUGUGGGGUCGACCACAAUGUGGCUUUCUGUAAAUCCUUUGUAUGACCAGUGGGAACAGAAUCCAAUACUACAGACAAUAUAAAACUUCAGGAAAUUACUGUGUGUUAGCCAGAAUAAAGCAUGAAUUAUAGGUUCUGAUUUAGGAUUGCUGGAAAUAUAGGCAGUGCCAAAAGACAAUUCACUAAAAUCAGACCCUCAAGCCACUGUAAUACUUUAUAUGGAGAAUCUGAGGUACAGAAAUAAUUCAUUGUUCUGGUGGAGGUAUUGAAAACCUACAGGAUCCUAACAAUAACAGCAUACAGAAUUCCAAGAAUAUCAAUUAAAACUGAUUUAUUUUACAAGGAUUAUGAAAAAAAAAAUCCAACUUGUGUUUCUCACUCUUGUUAUCCUGGAUGGAGGUGCACAAUGGGUUUUAAUGUGACAGAAAACCAAAGUACACAGAAAAAACCCACUAGUGGGGCAGGUGACCCAACGCCGUUUCUUGUAUGAUUAGGGAACUGAACCCUGUCCAUCUUGGUGAAAGGCGAGUGUGUUAUUCUCGGCGCCACCAAACCACCCUUAAUAUAUAUCUACAGGUUUCCGGGAAUACAAUAUGGCAGCUGUCUUCUGUUAGUUUUAUUUGAUCCAUAUGGAAUUAGAAGAACAUGUACCUCAUUUUAUUUUAAUAGCGUGUUUGUGUUAAUGUAUCAGAGAUAAGUGAAAACCAAAUGAUUUAUUUAGGCCUAUGGGCCUCUUGUUAGAUUUAUAUGCAUUCAAUGAUUGAAUGUAGAAUCAUAGGCGGUAUAAAUAACUAUAAGUACUUGAAUAAAUGUUUUUAUCAUG